UUAGGAAUGACAUUAAGUAGCAAUAUAAAAUACCGUGAUAAGUCAAAACAUACCGUAGAAGAAAGCAUAAGGCUUUAUAUUCUAGUAGCUUUAUGGGCACCUUUUUCCUCUUAUUGAACCAGUGCCUCCAAAUUCUCAUUUUGCACUGGGCCCCUCAAAUUAUGUCAUCUUCCCUGGGUCCAGUGAUCUAUGUUCUCUCUGCAGUAUGACUGCAAUAAAAGCUUCUAGUCAGAAAAGGGAAGAAUAGGAUAUGCAUAGCUGUCAAUGACCCAUAGUAAUUGUUAACUCCUUCAGGGUAGGCACUGUGAAGGGUGACCACUCAAGAUGGGGGGUAGUUUCUUGUUCUGUUUCUGAUUCUUCUUUCUGUGGCCUUGGCUGCUCUCUCUGAGAGUUUCUUCCUUAACCAUCGUCCUCCACAGCAAUAUCCUCUCCUUGUGAACCGUGCAGCUUUCAAACCUCUCUUCCUCCCCAAGGGUGGUUUUAAGGCCUUUUUUAACCCUGGCUCGUGGCUUCUUCGGCACUACAAUUUCUUCAAAAAAAAAUUUAGCACAGAAGAGAGUGAGAAGGGGUGAAGAACAGAUCUGGAGGAGCCAAUGAAGGAUAUCUGGCACAUCCGUGAAAUCACUUACUCAUACACCUGUGAACUGUAAGAGACUGAAAGUGAACUGACAGGUGAGAGUCAAGACCUCUAGAUGUGGAACUCCGUCACUUCCCUCAGAACCCCUCCUGUUAUCAUUUGUGAUUAGUCCGUUGGAGUCUCUAAGCGGGAUGCUUCUCUCAACAAAUUGAGAAAUAUGACAUGUGGCAUAUGCAGACAAAUUAUUUUUAUUACGAAAAUUCUAGGUUGGAGAAUGUAGCUUAAUGUGAGAGUCAAACAGGCCUGCUAACACGACCCCAUUAGCUCCAGACAUUAGGACUGGGGCAGACAUCCCCAAGAGAGAAGACUGCUCAGUUAAGAUUGACAGCAUUGAGUCAGAGGGGUGGAUCGAUUAAGUUUGCCUAGGAAGGUCCCUUCUGAUAGAAGCAAGGUGUGUGAAAACAACAUUCCCCUCUACCGAAGAUGACUUACACAGAUCCAGUGAGGGACACAGGGCCAACCCAUACAUUAAAUACCAGGAACUUUUAAUGUAUUCUUUUUAAAUAAAAAUACAUAUAAGUAUACAUUUUAAUGUUUUCUUCCUCUCACCCCAAGAGAUUUUUCUGUAGACCCCUUGAAUACAUAUACACCUCUUUUGAAACUACUGGGCUGAAGAGUACACUAUUGGACCGCUGUUGGCACGUUUAGUCCUAGCCCAGCUCCUGGUAAACUUCCUGGCCAAAAGCAGGAGGAAUUUCGUACCUUGUGCUUAGUUCGCCUCUAACACUGUUUUCACUCUCAUGCAGAUGUGCCAGCAUCAGGGUUAGCCCCAGUCUUACUCCCCUCCAAGCUUCAAGCCCAUCUUCUGCUGAGCAUGUUCUCUGGCUCUUUGUGGAUGGCUCAGCA
rnacentral:lncRNA from 1 species